GUCCACGCUGUAAACGAUGUCGACUUGGAGGUUGUGCCCUUGAGGCGUGGCUUCCGGAGCUAACGCGUUAAGUCGACCGCCUGGGGAGUACGGCCGCAAGGUUAAAACUCAAAUGAAUUGACGGGGGCCCGCACAAGCGGUGGAGCAUGUGGUUUAAUUCGAUGCAACGCGAAGAACCUUACCUACUCUUGACAUCCACAGAAUUUGGCAGAGAUGCUGAGGUGCCUUCGGGAACUGUGAGACAGGUGCUGCAUGGCUGUCGU
rnacentral:rRNA from 1 species